rnacentral:rRNA from 1 species
GUUGCCUUGUCAGGUUGAUUCCGGUAACGAACGAGACCUCAGCCUGCUAAAUAGUGACGAUUGCUUUGGCAGUUGGCCCGCUUCUUAGAGGGACUGUUGGCGUCUAGCCAAUGGAAGUAUGAGGCAAUAACAGGUCUGUGAUGCCCUUAGAUGUUCUGGGCCGCACGCGCGCUACACUGAUACGUUCAACAAGUUCCUAGGCCGAAAGGUCCGGGCAAUCUUUGAAACCGUAUCGUGAUGGGGAUAGAACAUUGCAAUUAUUGUUCUUCAACGAGGAAUGCCUAGUAAGCGUGAGUCAUCAUCUCGCGUUGAUUACGUCCCUGCCCUUUGUACACACCGCCCGUCGCUCCUACCGAUUGAACGUGCUGGUGAAGAGUUCGGAUUGGAAGCUUGGCUAGGUUUCCUAGCUCUGCCUCCGAGAAGUUCUUUAAACCCUCCCGUUUAGAGGAAGGAGAAGUCGUAACAAGGUUUCCGUAGGUGAACCUGCGGAAGGAUCAUUG